rnacentral:rRNA from 1 species
UGGGGAAUAUUGCACAAUGGAGGAAACUCUGAUGCAGCAACGCCGCGUGGAGGAUGACACAUUUCGGUGCGUAAACUCCUUUUAUAUGGGAAGAUAAUGACGGUACCAUAUGAAUAAGCACCGGCUAACUCCGUGCCAGCAGCCGCGGUAAUACGGAGGGUGCAAGCGUUACUCGGAAUCACUGGGCGUAAAGCGCGCGCAGGCGGCUAUUUAAGUUGGAUGUGAAAGCCUACGGCUCAACCGUAGAACUGCAUCCAAAACUAUUUAGCUAGAGUGUGGGAGAGGAAGAUGGAAUUAGUUGUGUAGGGGUAAAAUCCGUAGAGAUAACUAGGAAUACCAAAAGCGAAGGCAAUCUUCUGGAACACUACUGACGCUGAGGCGCGAAGGCGUGGGGAGCAAACAGG